rnacentral:rRNA from 1 species
GACGAACGCUGGCGGCGUGCUUAACACAUGCAAGUCGAACGGAAAGGCCCUGCUUUUGUGGGGUGCUCGAGUGGCGAACGGGUGAGUAACACGUGAGUAACCUGCCCUUGACUUUGGGAUAACUUCAGGAAACUGGGGCUAAUACCGGAUAGGAGCUCCUGCUGCAUGGUGGGGGUUGGAAAGUUUCGGCGGUUGGGGAUGGACUCGCGGCUUAUCAGCUUGUUGGUGGGGUAGUGGCUUACCAAGGCUUGGACGGGUAGCCGGCCUGAGAGGGUGACCGGCCACAUUGGGACUGAGAUACGGCCCAGACUCCUACGGGAGGCAGCAGUGGGGAAUAGUGCACAAUGGGCGGAAGCCUGAUGCAGCAACGCCGCGUGCGGGAUGACGUCCUUCGGGUAGUAAACCGCUUUCGCCUGUGACGAAGCGUGAGUGACGGUAAUGGGUAAAGAAGCACCGGCUAACUACGUG